GACGAACGCUGGCGGCGUGCCUAAUACAUGCAAGUCGAACGCAGUUGCGCACGGGUGAGUAACGCGUAGGUAACUGCCUCAUAGCGGGGGAUAACUAUUGGAAACGAUAGCUAAUACCGCAUACUGUGCGAUGGACCUGCGUUGUAUUAGGGAGUUGGUGAGGUAAAGGUCCACCAAGGCGACGAGACAGAGCCGACCCGAGAGGGUGGUCGGCCAACCUGGGAAUGAGACACGGCCCAGACUCCUACGGGAGGCAGCAGUAGGGGAUCUUCGGACAUGGACGGAAGUCUGACCGAGCAACGCCGGGGGAGUGAAGAAGGGUUUCGGAUCGGAAAGCUCUGUUGUUAGAGAAGCGGUAACUAACGAGAAAGGGACGGCUAACUACGUGCCAGCAGCCGCGGUAAUUC
rnacentral:rRNA from 1 species